CGACUAAGCGUACACGGUGGAUGCCCUGGCAGUCAGAGGCGAUGAAGGACGUGCUAAUCUGCGAAAAGCGUCGGUAAGGUGAUAUGAACCGUUAUAGCCGGCGAUGUCCGAAUGGGGAAACCCAGUGCAAUUCGUUGCACUAUCGUUAACUGAAUACAUAGGUUAACGAGGCGAACCGGGGGAACUGAAACAUCUAAGUACCCCGAGGAAAAGAAAUCAACCGA
rnacentral:rRNA from 1 species